rnacentral:lncRNA from 1 species
CUUUUGGGAGCUUUUAAGGAGCAUCUUGAGCAACAAUGGCACAAAAGAAAGAUCCAGUCUGCCAUGCUUUUUGAGGAUCUACUUGACAUGUGAACUGGAUCAUACUUCUGUGUAACCUGGUAAAGAAUACAGAGUAAGAGAAAUGUUAUUCCAAAGAGGAGGAGAGUAAGUGUAUCAGAAAAGUACGUCCUGGGAAGCCUGAAAAGUACAAAAAAGGGUGUGGCGUGGCCUCUGGGUUGUCCAGCCUCUGGUUCCUAGAAAUCUAGGUAGUGUCAGUCAUGGACUCCAUCUCAUAACAUGGACCUCAAAUUUGACCAGUGAUUGGUUGUCCACUAUCACAAGUUCUGCUCCAUCAUUAUGCCAGCACAUCUUAGAGGUGGAAGGACAUCUAGGUUGUUUCCAGUUUCUCUUUAUUAACAAUAAAG